UGAUUCUUUGUCGCAGACACUGCUGCUUACCUAGUUGGUGCUUCUCCUGGGGAAAUGAAUGUCUGCUGAUAAAGAGAUCGACCAUCAUCUUCCUCGUUGCUACAAGCUUACAAUCAACAAACAUUUCACUGACAGACCUGAAGUUUCAAGAUCACCUGUAACACUCACAGAAUGAACCUUUAUUCUGCUGCGUUUGCACCAUCAUUCCAACUCGGUCUCCAUGCUUCUGCUCCACGUCUCUCUGGAACCUCCCUUCAACUCUGCUUCAAUCCUAUACUUCCUUCUUGAUAACGUACACCUUUACUAUU